CAGCAGUGGGGAAUAUUGCACAAUGGGCGCAAGCCUGAUGCAGCCAUGCCGCGUGUAUGAAGAAGGCCUUCGGGUUGUAAAGUACUUUCAGCAGUGAGGAAGGUGGGUAUGUUAAUAGCAUACUCAUUUGACGUUAGCUGCAGAAGAAGCACCGGCUAACUCCGUGCCAGCAGCCGCGGUAAUACGGAGGGUGCGAGCGUUAAUCGGAAUUACUGGGCGUAAAGCGCAUGCAGGUGGUUUGUUAAGUCAGAUGUGAAAGCCCGGGGCUCAACCUCGGAAUUGCAUUUGAAACUGGCAAACUAGAGUACUGUAGAGGGGGUAGAAUUUCAGGUGUAGCGGUGAAAAUGCGUAGAGAUCUGAAGGAAUACCGGUGGCGAAGGCGGCCCCCUGGACAGAUACUGACACUCAGAUGCGAAAGCGUGGGGAGCAAACAGGAUUAGAUACCCUGGUAG
rnacentral:rRNA from 1 species